UGGGGAAUUUUGGACAAUGGGCGAAAGCCUGAUCCAGCAAUGCCGCGUGUGUGAAGAAGGCCUUCGGGUUGUAAAGCACUUUUGUCCGGAAAGAAAUCCUUGGCUCUAAUACAGUCGGGGGAUGACGGUACCGGAAGAAUAAGCACCGGCUAACUACGUGCCAGCAGCCGCGGUAAUACGUAGGGUGCAAGCGUUAAUCGGAAUUACUGGACGUAAAGCGUGCGCAGGCGGUUUGCUAAGACCGAUGUGAAAUCCCCGGGCUCAACCUGGGAACUGCAUUGGUGACUGGCAGGCUAGAGUAUGGCAGAGGGGGGUAGAAUUCCACGUGUAGCAGUGAAAUGCGUAGAGAUGUGGAGGAAUACCGAUGGCGAAGGCAGCCCCCUGGGCCAAUACUGACGCUCAUGCACGAAAGCGUGGGGAGCAAACAGGAUUAGAUACCCUGGUAGUCCACGCCCUAAACGAUGUCAACUAGUUGUUGGGGAUUCAUUUCCUUAGUAACGUAGCUAACGCGUGAAGUUGACCGCCUGGGGAGUACGGUCGCAAGAUUAAAACUCAAAGGAAUUGACGGGGUCAUAGCUGUUUCCU
rnacentral:rRNA from 1 species